rnacentral:lncRNA from 1 species
CUGACAGUCUGGCUACUCAGGGGGACUUUGAGCUACAAUUUCUGACUGACUCUUUAAGCUCUGCAGCCAGCUUAUUCUCUCAGAAAUCCGGUGAGUGCUGGGUAGGCCAGCUCAGUCCUGACCAUCGGGAGGGAGGGAGAAGCUGCCUCUCUGGCAAAGAAGCCACCAAGAGGAUGAGGAAGAGGAGGAGAAGGAUUGGUUUUCAGGUUGCCUCCCCCAGAGCAAGAACUCCUGUGGGGACGAAAGCCCCAAUAUCCGCCGCCUGCCCGCAAGCCUUGCCAACCGGCUCUUCAGACAUUAUCCUCAGUUCUGGGCAUACAACCACACACAAGCUGUAGUUCCAGCCCUCACAGAGCUCAUGAUGUAGCAGAGGACACAGACAGCUAACUGGCAAUCACACAUCGAGUGAUGGGCGCUACAGAAGGGCAUGCUGAGGGAACUUCUGGAAGGGGCAGCUAACGGGGCCUGG